rnacentral:ncRNA from 6 species
UCCGUAGGUGAACCUGCGGAAGGAUCAUUAUU